rnacentral:rRNA from 1 species
CGCAUCUGUGCAUGCAGCAUAUCAAUAAGCGGAGGAAAAGAAACUAACAAGGAUUCCCUUAGUAACGGCGAGUGAAGCGGGAAGAGCUCAAAUUUGAAAUCUUCAAGGUUUUACCUUGACGAAUUGUAGUUUAAAGAAGUGUUUUCUGUUGAAGUUUUGGUAAAAGUUCUUUGGAAUAGGACAUCAUAGAGGGUGAGAAUCCCGUAUUUGACCAUUAUUUUCAGCUGUGUGAUACACUUUCAAAGAGUCGGAUUGUUUGGGAAUGCAGUCCAAAAUGGGUGGUAAAUUUCAUCUAAAGCUAAAUAUUGGCGAGAGACCGAUAGCGAACAAGUACCGUGAGGGAAAGAUGAAAAGAACUUUGAAAAGAGAGUUAAACAGUACGUGAAAUUGUCAAAAGGGAAGCGUUUGACACCAGUGUUGUUUUCUCGAAAAUCAAUUAAAAAGAGUUAGAUUUUGUUGUGUAUUGACCUUAACAGCUUGCAUUUCAAUUUUCUUGCUUUUUUUAAUGCACUUUUCGUUUAACAAGUCAACAUCAGUUUCUUUUGUUGUAAAAGGGUAAUAGGAAGGUGGCUUCUCUUCGGUAGAAGUGUUUAUAGCCUUUGAUCUCUGCAGUCGGAGAGAUUGAGGUCUGCAGCGUAGACUCUUCGGGGUUAGAUACGUCGGUGCUAAGCUAUAGCUUUUCAUAGACAACUUGUUGACUAUGUUUAGUCUUGUAACUUACCCGCUCAUGCUAUUUUACCUACGCUUAGGAUGUUGAGCGCAUGUCUCUCUCU